rnacentral:tRNA from 1 species
GGAGCUGUGCCUGAAGUAAAGGACCACUUUGAUGUAGUGAAUCAUGAGGGUUAAAGUCCCUCCAACUCCU